GAGGGUCUAGCUCAGUGGUAGAGUGUAUGCUUAGCGUGCACAAGGUCCUGGGUUCAAUCCCCAGUACCCCCU
rfam:Camelus ferus unplaced genomic scaffold scaffold95, whole genome shotgun sequence.